GGGGAUGUAUUUCAGUUGGUAGAGAGCUUGCCUUGUAUGCACAAGACCCUGGGUUCAAUCCCCAGCACCA
rfam:Ictidomys tridecemlineatus contig117613, whole genome shotgun sequence.